rnacentral:tRNA from 1 species
CCCUGGUGGUUCAAAUGGUAAAGAAUCUGUCUGAAAUGCAAGAGACCUAGGUUUGAUCCCUAGAUCAGGAA